UAGUUUACUAGAGUUAGCCGGUACGAU
rnacentral:sRNA from 1 species